GAUGAACGCUGGCGGCGUGCCUAAUACAUGCAAGUCGAGCGAACAGACGAGGAGCUUGCUCCACUGACGUGAGCGGCGGACGGGUGAGUAGCACGUGGACAACCUACCUCUAAGACUGGGAUAACUGCGGGAAACCGGAGCUAAUACCGGAUAAUAUAUUGAACCGCAUGGUUCAAUAGUGAAAGACGGGUUUGCUGUCACUUCUAGAUGGAUCCGCGCCGCAUUAGCUAGGUGGUAAGGUAACGGCUUACCAAGGCAACGAUGCGUAGCCGACCUGAGAGGGUGAACGGCCACACUGGAACUGAGACACGGUCCAGACUCCUACGGGAGGCAGCAGUAGGGAAGCUUCCGCAAUGGGCGAAAGCCUGACGGAGCAACGCCGCGUGAGUGAUGAAGGUCUUCGGAUCGUAAAACUCUGUUAUUAGGGAAGAACAAAUGUGUAAGUAACUAUGCACGUCUUGACGGUACCUAGUCAGAAAGCCACGGCUAACUACGUG
rnacentral:rRNA from 1 species